GUAAGUCGCUCUGGAUAAGAGCGUCUGCUAAAUGACGUAAAUGUAAAAUGUGUAUUUAUCCAAUGGUCAUCUUGUUAUCCAUAAUUCACAUUCUAAACAUUUGUGGACACGACCUGUAGUUUUUGUUACAAAUUAAGUACAUCUUAAUGCUCAGUUAAAAGUGUUUAUUAAAAUAAGUAGCCUACCUACAUAGCUGUGAAAUACAAUUCUAAACUUUUUAUAUUCUGUUUCCUUUGCAGCUCCAAAUAAAGACCCUUCACCCCUACCACCCUUCUAUUCAGACUUACUGCUGACACCUUUAGUUUCUCUCUUUCUUUCUCGCUCGCUUUCUUUCUAUCCAUCCUCUUGAUACAGAUCUCUUGAUCCAUCCUCUGGCUGCAUUUUAAAAUGGCUCCUGGCUCCACCCGUAAGCUGUGUCCUAGUUGUAAAACAUCAAUAGGAGUAGCGUCAAAGAAAUGCAAGUUCUGUGGUGCAAAAAUACAGCUAAAGGUAAAGUUAGAGGCCCAAAAAAUGAAGGCAACAGAUGAAUGGGCAAAUAAGACCAUGAAACAUGGAAGAUAUACAACCUUGAUUAAUGCAGCAAACAAGCUGGUACAUAGGUUCCACAAGAUUGGAGUGUACCCCCUGCUACUCCUCAGCAAAAGGAAGAAGGAUAACAUUUGGUCGUCGACUGCGCUGUGUCCUCACAGUGGUAUGAUGAAUCAGACCUCAAUGGCAGCAAUCCAAAGGUUCUAUGAGAGGCAAUCAACACCCAUGCCCCCACACCACAACCCUCCAACCCUCCUCCUGUUGCUGCCCAAGAACUGUCUGAUACAGUUGCACCCCAGGAGACCGAUUUCAUCCUCACCCAGGUUGAACCCCCAAUAUCCCCCACCACCCAGGAGACCAGCUACACCCCCAUCCUCAACCAGGUUGAACCCCCGAUAACCCCCACCACCCAGGAGACCAGCUACACUAUCCUCAACCAGGUUGAACCCCCAAUAAUUCCCACCGCCCAGGAGACCAGCUACACCCAAACCGAACCAAAGAAGACGGGGAGAAAGUCCUGUCACUCUCAAAAAAACCUCCAACCCGCUGAGCAGGACACAGUCAACCCCAUCCAACUCCGACCAAGGAAGAGGAAAUAUGACUACAUGCAAAAAGAGUGUCCAGUGCAUCCUGGGCAAACGAUUUUCCCUAUUCUAGAAAUCCUUGCCAAUAGAACUUCAAAGGAGGGUCAGGAGCAGAAAGUGAGGUGGAAGCCAUGCUCUGGAUGUGGCAAGAAAUGGGAUGAUGACUGGAUCAAGGCCGUAGACUGGGUUUCUCCUGUUUAACCUCUACUUUAGGCACAAAUGGAUUGCUCACCCUCCCUUCACAUUUAUCACUGUCAAUGGUAGGCCAAGUUCUUCAUGAUUUAACGGUGAAACGUUCAAGGAGCAUCUGCAUGCCAACCAUUUGAUCUCAAUCAGUUUCAUGAUAAUAUGCAAUAUGAACCGUUUAGAAAUCACAGCACAUUUUAUACAUAGUCCCCCCCCAUUUUAGGGGACCAAAAGUAUUUGGAAAAAUGCACUUAUAUUUGUGUUGAAGUAGUCAAAAGUUUAGUAUUUGGUCCCAUAUUCCUAGCACACAAUCAUUACAUCAAGCUUGUGACUCUACAAAC